GCUGGGCGUGGUGGCGGGCGCCUGUAAUCCCAGCUACUCAGGAGGCUGAGGCAGGAGAAUUGCUUGAACCCGGGAGGCGGAGGUUGCAGUGAGCCAAGAUCACACCACUGCACUCCAGCCUGGGCGACAGAGUAAGACUCUGUCUCAA
rnacentral:SRP_RNA from 1 species